AAACUUUCAACAACGGAUCUCUUGGUUCUGGCAUCGAUGAAGAACGCAGCAAAAUGCGAUAAGUAAUGUGAAUUGCAGAAUUCAGUGAAUCAUCGAAUCUUUGAACGCACAUUGCGCCCGCCAGUAUUCUGGCGGCAUGCCUUUCCGAGCGUCAUUU
rnacentral:rRNA from 1 species